AGAAAGAAGAGAGAUCCUCUCUUCUUCUCCAAAAGAGGGGAGAGUUGCCUCUCCCUUUCCUCUUCGGAUCAGAGAGGGCGACAACCACUGUGGCCAGCCCCGGCGACGGUGGCCACGGGCGGUCCGUCGGCCGUUUCCUCGCCGGCGAUGGUGGCCGGCCGGCACGAGGAAGAAGGAAAAGAAAUCAACAAGAGCAAGGGGAUCAAACCCGACAUAGAUCAUGGCCAAUUCCACCGAUCAACAAUCACGCGUUCAGGGGUCGUCGACAGCUGCAAAAUCCGGCCAAACCGGCGGCCGGCGGCGGUUUAAUCACGGCUAAAGAAGAAGACCGAAACAGGGCAAACAGGGGAUCUGUUUCUUGGUCGAUUUCCGGCCGAUUUCUUGGCCAGCGGCCGCGAUUCCGGCUCGAGGGAAUAAAUUCAAGGAAAGGGGAAGAAGUCUAGCGUGAUACCUCGGCCCCGGCGGCGUCCUGUGGUCUCGAUUUCCAGCGAACACAAUAAUGGGCAUCCGCAAGCUUACCGCCGGGAAGAAGAAGAGCGAGGGAGAAAGAGUAGAGAUUGCUCGGGGAGUAGGCUUUGAAGGGAGAGGGAGGACUCACAAAGCCUCUAAAUAGAGGCGGCCGCGAUCGGAAUCCGACUCGGAGUCGAAUUCCUUCCGGCGAUAUCGGGGGAGGAAUAAGACUCCGAUCGGGAGUCUUCUCCUCAAGAGCCAAUGGGCCUGGCCUCUUCAGGCGGCCCACUAGCCCAAAAUAAAACGGGCAAUUACAAUCCUCCUCUCAGAAGCCUUUCUGGUCAUUCAUUAACAGGGUAGCUUAGAUGUCCAUUAUCUUGGUUAUUUCAGAGGCUUUUCCUUCAAACCUAGUUUAGGCAGGCUGGGGGUCCCUUCAGUCGUUUCCCGAUAGGUUUCUCUGGUUGUUAAUAGCUGUUGAAGAGUGUUUUUUUGUGUGUGUGUGUGUUGUUAUCAAAGGCAGAGUCUAGGUAAUUUUACUCAAAUUCGGUGAAUGCAAAACCGAGAUGUAAUCAUCUCUACGGGGGUCAAAUAAAGGCUCUGGAAUAAUAAUAAUAAUAAUAAAAGGCUGUGGAACA
rnacentral:lncRNA from 1 species